UGCAGAUUGUAGGAACACCAAGCCUGCUGGCGGAUGCUUCUUCAGGGGCAAAGAAGAAAUCUUCAAGAAGAAGGUGCCCGAAGCUGAUGCCGCGGAGCAACAUUGCUGUUGGCGACGGGUACGUGAUGGUGGCUAGUGUGGUGGACGACCCAGAAUAUGUGGCCCCACAAGUGCACAUCUACACCUUUGGGUACAAGAACUAGUUCCAGAACUUCAUCAAGCACUUGCGCGAAAAGGGUGAUGAGACUGUUGACUGUAGUGUGGUACACUUCCUGGAGCAUUGUAAUGCCUUACCAAGUAGCAAUUGCAUGAAGAUACUCGACAACACAAAAAGUGAAGGUUUUCACAUGUUGGAGGAGGAGGACAAUAGGAACUUCUGUGAUGUCUUGUCAUCUAUUUUCUUUUCUUUUCUUUGUUGUAGAAUAGUUUUGUGUGGCACUUAUUCGUUCCUUGGAUGUAAAGAUAUGUUUUGCUAGAAUGAAUGCAUGUAAAGAUAUUUUGGGCUCCUAUAACAUUCCAUGUUGCUUUGAAAACGUAUCGAAACUGAGCUAGGCCCAAGAUAGCUUGUAGUGUGAUGUGUUGUAAUGUCAAUGGCAUAAUAAAAAAAGUUGGAUUGGAUCAA